GGAUUAGAUACCCUAUUAUUUAAGAGCUUAACAUUGUGAGUAAGUAAUAAUUAUUAAAGCAAAAAAUUAUGGCGGUAUUUUAAGCUUUUCAGAGGAAUUUGCUCUUUAAUGGAUAAAACACCAAAAUCUUACUUAAAUUUGUUAUUUCAAUUUGUAUACCACUAUAAAAACAAUUUAUAACUUUAAUUGUUUAAACUUAUAAAAUUAAAAUAUAUUAAGUCAAGGUGCAGUAAAAAUUUAAGAAUGAAGUGAAUUACAUUACUUUUUAGUGAAAUAGAUUUAUAAUAAUAUUUAGGAUUUGAAAGUAAAAUUAAAAUAGAAUGUUAAUUUGAAUUAAGCUCUAAAAUAUGUACAUAUCGCCCGUCACUCUUUUAUAAGAUAAGUCG
rnacentral:rRNA from 1 species